GGCAGCAUGGCAAAGGGGAAAGAGCUGUGGCUUUGGAGUCUGCCAGAUCCUGGGUUCAAAUCCCAGUUUUGCCA
rnacentral:tRNA from 1 species